rnacentral:lncRNA from 1 species
GUUUUUCGAUAAGAUUACAAUCGAAACAUUGGAUUCUUCAAUUGCUUUCGAGAGCUCUGAUGAAAUCUCGUUUCCUCUCUCCAGUGUUUCGUCGUCCUUAAAUGCGACGAAUCCGUUGCGAAUUAAAGCAGCGUGGAGGUGGUCGGUGAAAUUGUUGCGAGUGUCUUCGCCUCUGAAACUCAAAAAGACGUCGUAUUUGGUUUGAAGAAUUUGAUGAUGAGUGGAAGAAGACGAAGUAUGAGAGGCCGCCAUUUCGAAGGCCUUUGGGAUCUGUGGCUAUUAGAGUUUAGAGAAGCGUUUAAGCAAAUGAAAAGAUUAUAAAAUAAAAAGUAAAAAAUCUGAAGCGGUGUCGGCGAGUUUUCGACAGCGACGUUGGACUGUCUUAAUAAUUUGAUUUGAUAGACCAAAUGACGUCCGAUGACCGUUUUGAGGAUAUCAUCAAUGCAGGGUGUGGACGGCGUGGCACAACGUAAGGGAUUACGUGAGUGAAUGAAAAUAUAAAUAAAUAAAAUAGGGAGGGUUUUUGUAAUUUAAUUUUUUAUAUUUUAAAUUGUGAUAUAAAAUUUGAGUGAUUGAUUUUAUAUUAUUUAAUAAUAAAUAUAAAAAAUCAAAAUAAUAUAUAAUAAUAUUAAUUCAUCUAUCAUUAAAUUAUAUAAAAUUAAUGACUUAAAAUUUAUAUCAAAAUUUAAAUAAGUAUUCAAAAUAAUAUAUAACCCGAGUAAAAUUAAAGAAAACGAUGAAUGUACAAUAACGAUUUUGUAUAACAAUUUGAAGUAUAACUACGGUGCAUCUAAUACACUAUAUAUCCGUUAUUUUAUUAUUAUUAUUAAUUUUUUAUUAUUUUAAAUAAUUAAUCCAUUAUAUAUAUGUUUUAUGCUCUUUUGCCAUGUAUGCUAAAGAAAAUUCAAUACAUCUAAUGUUAAAUUACAUUCUAUUAAUGAAUAAUUUAUUCCGGACAACUAAAAUUUAUUUGAGAUGUUAGUUGAUGCAACUCAAUAAAAUUAAUAAUUUGAUAGACUAUAUUGAAAGAAAUUUUAAAAUAUAUCAGAGAAUUAUCAUGUCAGUAAUAUAAUAAAUAAAAAAUAUUAUGAAUUACAUAUUUUUGUUUUUGAAAAAUUAUCAUAUAAGUAGUGGUUAUAUUAAAUUUCUUCUAGAUUAAAUAGUUUUAAUUAGAGAAAACCCCUGGAGCAAUGUUUUCUCUGAUGAUGUUGGUUUUGAUGAGGCAGCCUUUGGCUUUGAAAUGCGGCUUACUAGAGCGGUGGGUUUAUCUCCACUAAUAGUUAAAUUAGAUUCAUUUUGUAUGGUUCAAUUAAUUUUGGAUUGACGUAGUACUUGUAUUGAGUGUCUGAGUUAUUCUAACUUAUUUUUUAAGUGAAGCAUUUACUCUCUCUAAAGCAUUCUUUCAAGUUAGACAUAUCUAAGGAGUUUGUAAUAAAGCAGCGGAUUUAUUGGGAAAUUUACACUAAUAACCAAAAAAACUUUGCUUUUUUUCAUCUUAACCCCCCAAAAAUAUUUCUAUCAACAUUAGCCAUUAAACAACAUUUGAGUCCAAAAUACCCCUCCCUCAUCUCUUCCCCAACACUCCCUUUCUCUUAUCUCUCCCAAACCGAUCCAACUCCCAUCAUCGGCGGCGACAUCAACCCCGUCGGCGGCGGCUCCAUCUCUCACCGGCAUCCGAUCUACGAUCCACAACCUUCAACAAAACCUAGGUUAGUCAUUUUUCUUAUUUUCAUUAAUUUAAAAUGAGAUUUUAGAAUAAUAAUAGUUAUAGCUUGAGAUUGAUAAUGGUGGUGAUGAUGUUUGUGGUGGUUGGUGGUGUUUGGGAGUACUGUUUUUGAUUUUGGAGUGAUUGCGCUUAAUUUUGGGGGUGGGGAGGGAGGGGGGCAGGGCGCGCACCGGCGCCCAUCGCUGGGCAGCAGCGCGCGCCCAUGCGCGGCCUGCGGUCGCACCAAAUCUGGUGCGACAGCAGGCGCUGUCGCACCAAUUUUUUGGUGCGACAGGCGCGCGCCUGUCGCACCAGCUUUGGUGCGACAGGGCCUGUCGCACGAGUUUUUUGGAGCGACAGGCUUGCCUGUCGCACCAAAAAAUUAGAGUUUUUUUUUUACGAGUUAAUUUUUUAUUUCUGUAAAUAUAAUGUAAUAAUUUUAUAAAUAUUACAGAUACAUGGCGAAAUCAGAAUCACCGGAUAUUGAAGUAGGCAAGAUGUAUUUUCGUUAUGCUGAUCACUUUCCUGGUCGAAUUUCGAGCAUGUGUAUGUUAUCUUCGGUCGUAAAAGCUAUCGAGGAAAAAUUAACAAACCGGCAGUUGAGUAUGUUCAAAAAGGAUAUAUUUGGGCAUUUCUUGGAGUGUCGAAGUUUUCCAUUUAGUGGGGUAAUUUUGCAUAAUCUUUUACUGCGUCAAGUGGCUCAUGAAGAAGAUAGCCGUGAGGAUCAGUUAUGGUUUCAAAUUGGUAAGCAUUUGAUUCACUUGUCAAUUGUCGAAUGGUGCUUGGUUACUGGACUUUCAUUUGGUGUUGAUACCAAUGAAAAAAAUGAUGAAAUGGAGCAGAGGCUACGGAAUACGUAUUUUGGUGGUGUGCAUCGUAAGAUUAAUGUGAAGCAAUUUGAUGCCGUAUUUAAGGAGUUGAAUUUCGAGGAAAUAGACGAUAUGGACGCAUUAAAGAUUGCGUUGUUUUAUUUUGCGGACAGAGUACUAAAUGCAAGAAAAAAUCACUGUCAAAUUAAUUUCGAUUGGCUUGACCAAGUUGAUGAUAUUCAGUACUUCCGAAAGCGUCCAUGGGGUCUAUUGUCGUGGGAAAUGAUUUAUGAGAGUCUUGACAAUGCACUGUUCGAAAAAGACGAGAAAUUUAAGAAGACUCGGUUGAAAAAUCCAGAUCAUAAUAUUGAAAAAUACAAUCUUUACGGAUUUACGUCUGGGGUGCAGGUGCUUUUUUUUGUUUAUUAAUAAGUUUUAUAUUAUUAAAUAUUUGAUAGUUGUUUUAUUUGAUUUUUCACUUUGGUUGUUGUAGGCUUGGAUUUAUGAAGCAAUCGGAGGGUUACCAUCAACAUGGGUCGUCAAAACGAAGAGUAAGAUUCCCCGCAUUCUGCAAUGGAAGCCUAUGGCGUCUUCGAGAAUCAACUUUGCGGAGGUUUAUUCGUUCUUCAACGACGAAUCUCGUCUUGUAAGUAAUAUGUAUUACUUAUUUUUUUAACUUUACUAAAUUUAAGUUGGGUUUACUUACUUAAAUUUUUCAAUUAAAUUUAUGGCAGACGGACGUUUUACAAACUCUUGAGCCAAAUUCAAAGGAGAGUAGCAGAAAAUAUUGGCUCUCUGUGAAGGAUUACUUGCCAAGCAUUCCAGACUGGGUUCAUAAGGUCGGUAUACUGUAAGUACAAAAAUUUUUUUUAUCGAAAUUUUUGACUUUUCAUUUAGUAAUUUUAAAUGAUACUUUAUACAGCACCAACCCUCAAUCAACGCGAUGCCGUCGGUUACAAGACAAUCGGACGAGCAUGACGAUCAUGACGACAUACCAAACCCAAUACCAGAGCAGCGUCAUGACACUUUUGAGCAGCGUCAUGACGCUUUUGAGCAGCGUCAUGACACUUUUGAGGAUGAGGUGGCUGUUGAUGACCAGCAGCAAACAGACAACUCUGAUGACGCACGGGAUUCUGAGGUUAUAAAUAAUAUACGAUAUUUUUCACUUUGGUUGUUAUUAUUUUUUUAUUGUUAUUCUAAAGUUUUAUUUUUUUCUUUUGUAUUAGUCGAGGACAAAGCAGUUUAAUGAUUACGUACGACGACGGCUGGAUAAGAUUGAUCGUAACGUGUAUGAAAUAAAGUCAGAAUUAAAAGAUUUUAAAGAAACCGUUGUUGGCUUCAUCGACACAUUUUCUAAACGUCCAAAUAAGGAUUCUCUCACUGCACGCUCGUAUGCGGUAAGCUAAUUUAUAUUAAAUAAUUAUGUUCGUUUAACUUUUAAUUUGAUAAUUAAUGAAAAUUUGUCUACGCCCACGUCAUUGGUUAGUUUCUACGGGGAUGUUAGUGGGGAGAGCGUGCAGGUGUUCACAGAGGUGCCCACGUCAUUGGUUAGUUUCUACGGGGAUGUUAGUGGGGAGAGCGUGCAGGUGUUCACAGAGGUGCCUCCGGGCGUUAGUAAGAACGUCCGGAGGUUACCUCGACCCCAAAUCAUGGAGCAUGCGAUUGACAUGAGUACGAGUGUGGAUGUAAAUCCGCUGAGAGGAUUGGAGGACUCUAGUUGGUUUGCUGAGUUUGAUCGAUGGUUCACUGGUGAUAUCAGAGUCCGCCGGAACGUCCAGCACCCGCGGUCAUUCUUUCAAAUAAUUUUGGGGACAGCUUCGAUGGGAUGGCUAGGCGAUGAGGUAUUUAUAUUUUCCUCGUGGUGUAUACUGUUGUGUAUUUGUGUAUAAUUUUUUUUUUAAAUCGUAAUAUUUCUGUUUCUCUACAGCAUAUUCACGAGUAUCUCCGCUUGAUUAGCGGGAAACAACGGCAGUAUCCAAAUGCCUUACUCCAACGUGUCACAUACGGACACAUUUUUUUGGGUAACGUGCCGACAAAACUUACAAAUACUAUUUAAUUUCUUUAAUUAUUGCCUUUAAGUUUAAUUAAUUUAUGCAUUUCUUGGUUAUCUAUGUACUAGGUGUUCUUGAAUCAGUUAUGGAAUAACGGGAAUUGUGCAGUCGAUUCAAUGGUAUUCGACGACCGCUUGAAUAGUUAUCUGUGUGGGCGACAGCACACAAUGUCAAAAUCAAUGACGGAUGUCGAUAUGGUAUGUAUUUUAUUACAUUUCACAUGUUCUAUAAUGAAAAUAUUCGAGGAGUUGUUUUUUCUUUGUUGUAUUUCAAUUUCAUAUAUAACGAACAUGUUUUUAAAUUUUUAUAUGCAGUUACUCAUCCCUGUUAACUUGGACGGCGCGCAUUGGGUACUAGCACGAGUUGACUUUCGGAAAAAUAAAGUCUGGAUUUAUGACUCAUUACUCACAUUUCGCGACGACAAAAGGUACAAGUUAAAAUUCAAGCCACUUGAAGUUAUAUUCCCUCGCUGGUUGGAAUAUGUUGGCUUCUACAAUAUACGACCUGAGUUGCGGAGUGAAGACCCGUGGAAAGUUAUCGCAGUUAAGAGCGCGCCACAACAAGAGCCUGGAACUGGCGAUUGCGGUGUUUUUGUAUUGAUGGUUACGAUGUAUUUAAUGUUCGGGCUUAGGUUGGAGUUUAACGCUAGUCAUGUCGAGUACUUUAGAAAGAAGAUUGCGGUUGAUAUAUUUAAUGACGAUAUUAUAUUGUAGACCUAUGUAGUAAUUUCAAUGUUGAAAUUUACAUUUUUUUUUAAUUUCCGCACUUAAUUUUAUAUAAUUUUAAUGCCUCACAUUUUGAACUUUAAAAUAAAAUAAAGUUUUAUGAAUAAUAACAAUUUUAACCAAUGAAAUACAAAAAACAAUAACAGUUUUAACCAACGUAACACAAAAACAAUAAUAGUUUUAACCAACGAAUAACACACAAAAUACAACUAACUUCGAGUCGACGCAAUAGGAUUCUUACAUCGCUUACGAUUAUGGCCAAGUUCAUGACACCGGCCGCAUCUUACAGUUCGCCGGUCAACGUCCUCGCCAGCCGAGGGUAUUCUGCGCUCUUUACGACGUCCAGGUGGCGGUGCCUCAACUGGUGGGUAUACCUGCAGCUCCUGAAUUUCAUCUGGAACUUCCCAAUCAGCCACAUCACCAACUGGCUCCACUGGUUGUGCAUAAGCCAUCGCCAACGAUUCUGUAGUGUAAAAGUCCGAGCAAAGGUUAAUAAAAUCCACCCGGUGUGUUAGACACGCCGCAAUUGCAUGAGCACACACAAGCUGAUCAAGCUGAAACACUCUGCAGGAGCAAGUUCUCUUUUGCAAGUCAACCAACCCUUCCUUAAGCCCACCGCCUAUAACUUGAAAGCGAUGCGGAGACACCGGCCGAACUAUCAUUCUUUCAGCUAUAGUUCUCCUCUCAGUGACUAUUUCAUCCGCCCAUGUUGUUAGCCGAGUAGUCAUGGAUUCAGCCACAAUUUUUCUAUCAUAAAACCAUUGCUGCAAUGUUUUCCUGAAGUGAUCAACAAGAUGAGUAACAGGAAAUUUUCGAGGUUCCCUCAUGAAAGCAUUAACACUCUCCGCGAUGUUGGUGGUAAGAAUGCUGUACCUCCUACCUUCAAACUGAGACCUUGCCCAAUUACACGUACCGACAUUAUUUUCUAGGUAAUCAGCCGCACCCGAGUGGAUCAUCCACAACCCUUCAAGUUGUCUCUUAAAUUCCUCGUGGCCAUAUGCUUUUGCUGCAUUAAUAAAGGCAGGCUCAAAUUCAUCCCAAAGAGCUUUGGACAUUCUAAAUUGUGACUUAAUGUUACCUUUGACGUGGUAAAAAAAAACGCCAUGAGUUGCAUUGUGAAAUACUUUAAGAACGGCUCUCCUUAUGGCAGUGCAUCGAUCAGAGAUAAUUACCAACUCAGGUCUAUCACCAAUCACUCCAUGUAACUUCAUCAUAAACCAUUCCCAAGCAUCAUUAUUUUCUGAAUCCAUGAUCCCAAUGGCUAACGGAUACAAUUGAUUGUUACCAUCAAGACAUGUUGCCACGAACAUGCUUCCACGAUAUAAUCCCUUCAGAUGAGUACCAUCUACAGCAAUGACAGGCCGAAUGUACUGCAUAAACCCCUUGAUGGAAGAUCCGAGUGCUACAAAAUAGUACAAGAAAUUACCAUCUCCAUCCUGCUCGAGGUGAGUGACUGUACCCUCAUUCGCUGUAGUUAGUACGUGAGAGUAUUUAGGGAGCAAGUUGUAUGACUCUGCAGGGUUGCCGCGUACUAUUUCAAGACCAACUUCUCUCGCCCUAUAUGCCUGCUGGUAUGUUAACUGAACACCGUAUUCCUGUUGCAUAUCUGCUCUUAUGUCAUUGGGAGUAUAAAUCCUCUUAUCUUGAAUAUAUUUUUCUGUGAUAAUAUGAUCGACAACCCGGCUCCUUAGUUGAUGACGUCCAUCAACCAAUACCUCAUUAUGACAAGUGUGUACAUUAUCAAUUCUCUUCACCACCCAAGGAACAUGUUGCUCGUUCGAACUUCUAGUUGCUCGAAUACGCCAUUUACAUGAUUCUGAACAACAGUGAGCCUCGAAACGUGUCGUAGUAGACCGUGCAAUCUUGAAAUCAAACUUAUCUCUAAAGGCCACCUUGCGUAGUUGUAAUAUAAGCUCAUUCUUCUCAGCAAAUAGCUUACCCACACUGAUAUCAUCUGAGUCACAACUGCUAACAAAGCUUGGAGCAACCAUGUUCGAAGGUAAAGUUGGAGCAAGACUUGUAAGGGGGUCAAUUCUCCUUCUCGAUCGAACCAUAGAAGGAAUAGGUCUAUUGCCUCUGUUAUUCAUAGGAGUAUUGUCUUCACACUCAUCCUCAUCCUGAAACGACGGAACAUUCGAAGGACCGGCUCCUCCAUCAUCACCAUCAUUAUUGAAACGAGUGCCCCGCCUUGUAUUAUUAGAAGGUUCUGCACAAACAUUAUCCCCCUCUGUCUCAUUAUGAAAAUCAUCAUUGUCCCGAAAAUCAUUGUUGUGAUACGGAGAAUAUUGUUGCUCCAACGACGUUGUUAUUGGAAAUACCGUUGCUCCAACAUCCUGUAACGUAACGCCAUUAUCAUCAAUGUUGUCAUAAUUAUCGUGGAUUGGAGAGUAAUAUUGCUGCAGCGAUAUUGUCCUUGGCAACACCUCUUCAUCAUUAUCGGGGCCAGACAUAUUUGCUCUAAACGAAGUUUCUGUAUCGACAUGUGGCUCAAUACCUUCGCUCGGAACUCGAGGUGAUGUGGUCACGAAUAUAGGAAUGCAUCCAAAAUUAGCUACGUCAGAUGCCAUAUGCAACACAACCCUCACCAUUUCAUCAUCACAUAUAUCCAUGGGCAUUGCACAUAUACGAUAUAAUGUGUUACUAGACCUCAAAGUUGUCUUCAUUGUGAUACUAUAGUCAUUACGAUUUAUUUUUAACACCUCAUAUACUCUUGUCAAUAACUGAUCAAACAGGUAAUUUUUUCCAACCAAAAAAGCUCGAUUUUUACCAUUCACGUACUCCAUACAGCCAUUCUCUAAUGUCUCCCACCAACCAUCGUAACACAAUUCAAGUACAACUGAAUCCAUUAAGCCUGAAAUUAAAAAAAAAUAUUUUAUUUCAGUCCUAAUUAAAAUAAUACAAUUUUAAUAAAUCUCCAAGAGUGGGUCUCCCACCAACCAUCGUAACACAAUUCAAGUACAACUGAAUCCAUUAAGCCUGAAAUUAAAAAAAAAUAUUUCCUGUCGCACCAAGUUUUGCUGCGACAGGCAGCCUGUCGCACCAAGUUUUGCUGCGACAGGCAGCCUGUCGCCAGAUUCAGAUUCACCCGACUCAGUUCAGUAAGUUCAGAAAAUAAUUCAUACCAGUAAGUGACGUCGAUUUGUGUUGAAUUUGGAUAGAUUAUGAUCGGAUAUCACUUUUACAGUUGUCUUUUGCGGUCGCCGUUGGCUUAUGAUUCAAGAAUGAAAAGCUGCUUUUGGUUUGGCGAGAUGGGAGAAACAAUGUUGGUUUUGUUCUGUAAAGAAGGGUAAUUUGGGAAGAAAGGCUUGUGUUUGGCUAAUGUUGAUAGAAAAAAGUUGAGAGGGUUAAUUACGAAAAUAAUAAAAUAUUAAUGGUUAUUUUUGUAAAUUUCCCGGAUUUAUUAGCAAAAUAUUCUAUCAAUUGUUUAGUUUCUUAUGUUUAGUUGGAAGAAUUUCAACCGUAUCUGUGUUGUUGUCUUUAAGACUAAUAGUCCUGAUGUUACAAAUAAUGUAAUAAAUGAAGUCAAAAUCCUCCACCUGCUCUCUGACCAAUUGGGUGGGGUUUGGUAAUUGGUUGGUCUGAUCAGUCAUCAGUUUUUGACUUACAGUACGAGUAGUCAAUUUUUUUUGUUAACAAUAAUAUGGAUGUAAAAGAUCAAUACCCCACCAAAAUCAAUUUACAAACAAACAAUUAAUUACACUACCGCACGUUGCUAUUUUAUCAACCUUAUCGACCCUAAUAAAAAAUUAAUUAAUUUUUAAGGAUCUCUUAAGUUAUAUUUUAUGUAUCUUAAAUCCGCUCACUAUUUAUGUGAGUAAGUGUAAAAUAUAUAAAUGUAUCUUAAAGUUUACCAAUUUUCAAAGCUAAAACCUACUAACACAUAAAAAUAAAACUUUACCAUUUUUUUAAUGGCUUUUGCUACCUUACGUUGCUUGUAAGGUACAGCCUCUCACAAGGCUGGUGGGCCCAAGUGGGAUCCACAUCUGAGUUUGUGAGAGGCUGUACCUUACAUGCAACGUAAGGUAGCAGCUCCCUUUUUUAAUUUGUAAUCGAGUCUAGUAACUUGCACCGAUUGUACAAAAAUAAAAUAAUAUAAUUAUCCAAUAAUUUUCAGUGUCUUAUCUGUACAGCUAUUUUGCCCGAUCAUCCCAACGGCAACUUCCUAAUGUAAUUUAUUCCUCGCAUUAUUUAUGGACUGAUUUCAUUAGAAACUCCAAUAGGGCGGGUGGAAAUUAGUUAAAAAAUAAUAAUCAUUAUUAUCUCUCAAUGAUUUGUUUUUUGGUAGGUGUUAAUUUGUGGAUUUGUCGUCUCCGCGUUUUGUUAUCUUAUCCUCUUAUAAAUUAGUUCUCAUAAAAAAGGAUUAAAUUUAAAUUAUUAUAUUAAAAAUAACAUUUUUAUUCUGCUUAAAUAAAAGAUCAUCAUUGACUUUUUUUAGUAAAUUAAUAAUAACGAUGCACAUUAAUCACUUGAAUUUUGAGUUUGGAGAAGGGGAAAUAGGGUACAUGCGGCAUAGGGGCAUAAUUUCGAAUAACAAGGAAAAUUAAUAAUAAAUUAGGAAAAAGGAGUGGGUAAACCAUUAUUAGAUCAUGAUCCUCUCCUUAUCUGAACACUCCUGAUUUUUUACAGAUUUUAUGCCACUUAUGUUUUAGUGUUAGUGAAUUAUUAGAAUUUAAUAAAUUUUUUUAAUUUAUUAACCACCAAUCAUAUUAACAAAAUUUGUUCAAAUGAAAAUAAAAUCGAUCCUGAUCCAUCAUUAUUAUCUCAUGUUUCAACCCUAGCAUAGCUAGGGAUGGCAAUUGUACCCGCAAAUCCGUCCAAACCCAUCCGCCAAAACCCGUCCGUUGCGGGUAAUUUUACCCGUUGCGGGCGGGUUUAGUAUUAUAAAUUAAAACCCACACAUGGAUGCGGGUGGGUUUGGUAUUAACCUUAUAUCCGGUGGAUACCCGCAUGGAUAUCCACCAAACCCGCAAUAUUUUUUUCAAAUAUUUUUAAUUUAAUUUAAAUCUAAAAAUGUAUAAAGAAAAUAAUGUCAUUAAUUAAAUUACCAAAUAGCCAAAGGCUCAAAGUUGUGUAUGUGUGUAUGUGGCCUAUAUCCUAUUCUAAAGUCAUAAUCUAAAGAAAACUAAAGGCAUUUUCCUUCGAAUUAGUAUUUGAAAAUAUUAAUCUUAAUUAUUAUUAUAGGCAUUGUGUUGGAUGGGUGCUUAUGGUGGUGAAUGAAAUGAAUAUCUUCUCUUGGAGCUUAUUUUAAAUGAUAAUAUGAAAUGUAAUUAUUAUUUUUAGAUACUAGUUUGUGUUUUUUAAAUGGAUUUGUGUAAUUUAUACUUAAAUUUGAGAAUUUGUGUUGAAUUGAUGUGGAAAUUUUAAUUUUUCAUUUACAUUAUUUAAAUAUAAAAUUGAGUAUGUUAUAUGGAAUUUGAGGUUAUUAUUAUAAAUUUAUAUAUUAAACAUUUGUGAUUUUAAAUAAGGAAACCCGCAAAAAAUCCGCCGAAUACCAUUGCGGGUUUGGUAAUUGUUAAAAUCCGCUGCGAGUGGGUUUUUGUAAAAAAAUUAAAACUCGCUGCGGGUUGCGGGUGGGUUUGGUAAUUUAAAUUUUGUGCGGGUUUGGGUUUGGUAAUGGCAAACCCGCUGCGGGCGGUGCCCAUUGCCAUCCCUAAGCACAACCCCUUUUUCAGACUUAUUUAGUUAUUUUCAAUAAAAAAAUAGUUUUGAUGAUGUCAUCAAUACGCAAUAGGGAUGGCGCGUGGGCACAAUUUAUAAUUACGUGAAUGAAUGAAAAAAUAAAUAAAAUAAACGACGUAAACGUGGAAAAAUUGUUUUCGAGGGAAAAAAAAGUGAAGAACUUACAUGGGGCUUCACUUCAUGAUGGGAGGCCCAUCGAGUUAUCACAUUCACUUAUGAUACAAGAAUAAUGCAAAUGGCCGCUGCCAAGUCAUCACAUUCAUUAAAUAAUUUUUAAAGUUUGUUUUUAAUGCUAAAAAAUAUUAAAAAUGAAAUUUUCAAAUAAUAAACACAAAAAAUAAUUAAUGAGAAUUUUUUUAAUGUGAAUAAGUGGUAAAAACUAAAAAAUAAAUGAUAUCCUAAUUCUUUUGGCUAAAUAUCAAUUUGUUAGUUAGAUACUUCAAGUUUAUUUCAUGUCUCUAAUUUUGGUUAGUCUUUUUCAUUUGUUAGUUCAUUUAUUUUAAUUUAGUAUUCCAACAAUUUUGUGGUUAGUGUUCCUACUAAAUUCAUUCAAUAAUAAUAUUUUAGAUAAAAUUCUAGUAAAUUUUAUUUCUUAUUAGACAAUUUCGUAAUUUCGGUUAAACUCCCUCACUUAUGAGUUCAUAUGUUUCACUUAAUAAUUUCACUACCUUUGAGUUGAAUGUUCAUAUUAUCUAGGUUAAACUUGUAAGAUUUCAAUUAUUUGGAUUAAUUACUAAAUUUACUUUUUAGAAUUUUUUGGUUGAAUUCGUCUUAAAGUUCGGUUAAGCUUUCUUAAUUGCUUGUAGCAAAGUUUGAGCAUGGGGCUUCCAUAAAUUCAGAUCCCGAAAUAUUAGCGCCAGAAGAUAAAUCUUCCACGUGGUGUGGGAUAGAGAUUGCAGUAUAUAAAUCUUUAGUAUGAGGAUGGAGAUCUAAAGCCUCUAAUAGUCUACAUAAUCCUGAACCAUGCUCGGCAGAAAUAGUCUACAUAAUUCUGAACCAUGCUCGGCAGACCUCUAGGCUAAUGUUAUGUGUAUUCGAACUCUAAUAGAAUCCGGCUAACUUGGUACCAGAUCAAAUAUCGUUAAUUUUUCUGGCACGGCUGAACUUGCAAAUAGAACCAAGAACCUCAUUGGGUAGCGCCGGUCUGGCUGCAUUGCUGCCUUCAAACCACGAAAGGGUAAAUAAUUUUCUGUUGCCGCUCCGUCAUAACCCAAAAGGCCAUGGAUUCCAAAUUGGAGGCCGAAGCUGUUGUCCCUUGUAGACAAAAUCUUCCACUUCCGUGUGAAUUGGAACAACACCACACAUUUUCACCGCAGCGUCCCAAAAAUUUUCACCAACGUAAAAAAUGUUGAAAGAAGCCUUUGUAAGUACUUGAAAACGCUUUGUUUUAAAAGUCUCCAGGGGCAAAUAGGCCAGCCAAAGGUGAUCGGACUCGAGGGUUGCGAAACUAGGGAUGGCAACGCUGAAGUUGUAAUCAUCUUCCUUUGCUUCUAUUUUACAUUGAUCUCCAUGUAGGACAUGUCCGUACAACAAGGGAGAGAUAAUACCGCACAAACAGCAAAUCCUGAGAAAUUAUGAUCCGAUCUAAGACCAGAAGCUUGGAUUGUUACCGAACCACCAAUAUUCCAAUAACUGAACCACCUUGGAAUUUCAUUCCCAGGAAUAAAAAGAUGAAACUGAGAAGAACAAUUAGGGAGUUCCUGUAAUGUUAAAUAAUGACCAUUAGUAAGCUUGUACACAUGUAACAAGCACGGAAAUUAUUAAUAGAUAAGCAAAGGAAAAGAAAUUCGCUUAAAAACUUCAUUGUCAUUCAUUAGUCACAAGUCUGAAUGAAAUAUCUUCUAAUUUCUCUUUCUACGGUCUACCACUCUUUCGGAAGCUCGCUUACAAGUUCCAUGUUCCAAUUCCUGUGGAUAUGAAAUAAAGAUUUAGCUAAGGAUAAUUUUAGAGAAGCCACUAAUCCAAACAUAUGUAUAUGUGAACGAUCAAUAGUUGAGGACUAUCCAAGAACCAGACCAUAUUUUUUACUUUGUACUGGCCAGAGCCAAGUCUUGUCCUAAGCAACUAAGCAGUCACCCAAGGACCUCAACGUAAGACUAAAUGGAAAUAAAGUAUUUUUGUUUCCUAUCUCAUUUUUGCGUGCAAGUCCUUCUCUUUAAGGGGUAAAAAAAUUGGUAGAUACCCAAAACCUUCAAAAACCAACAUGUUAAACAUUUUGAUAGUCUAAAUGUUAUUAUAACAACAAACUAACAUCCUAGUGCUCAAAACUAUCAACUGACAGAGACUAAUGAAAGUGAGUUACCACAAGCCAUUGUUCCAGCAACAUAGCUAUCAAGUUGUCUCUACCAACUUGAUCCCCAGCCAGCUUGAAGCAAUUUGAAAAAUUUAGAGCCACGUCAGCGGUCCAGUUUAACUUUGGGUUAAUAGAUAUUGUUUCCAAAGUACAGCCUUCGGCCCCAACAAAAACUAUUUCUGGUGGAAGCUCUGGCAACGAUUUAAGAUUCCGGCAUCUCUCCAAGCAAAAAAUUUUAAGCUUUAAAAGUUGGUUUAUGCUAGAUGGUAGGCUGACAAAAUUGUUCCCACUUAAAUCUAUUGCUUCUACUGAGAAUAAGGAGCCAAUAUCAAAAGGAAUUGCUCCUUCCAAAAGAUUGCAGUCACUAAAAUUUAAAGUUUGUAGAGAGCUUAAACCAGUGAAACGAGGAAAGGACAAGCACAUGGAAUUAGAAUUUUUAUUUGGCAACCACAACGAAAGGAAGAAACCUGAACUCAAGAUUUUUGGGGGUUGUCCUUUACAUCCAUGGAGAGAGAAUAUUUUGAGAUUCAUCAACUGUACAAUGGAGGGUGUUAUUUGUCUUACUGCAGUGCCACCUACAUCUAGUUCUUCCAAACACUCAACUUCCCCCAAGUCCUGAGGCAAUUUCUCUAAUUUUAAACAUCCACAAAGACACAGUAUCUUUAGAGACUUCAUAAGACAGACAUUUUUUGGAAAGCUGACAAGAUUUCUGCAGUCUUUUAAAUUCAAUAAAAUUAGUCUUUUAAGAGUUCCAACAGAUUGGUGAACCUCGAGCAAUCUUGUACAGCCUUCAAGAUUCAGUCGCUGAAGAUUUGGAACCCCUGUAAAGUCAGGGGUUCUGCUAAGGUUACAAGAGUGACUGCGAUUCAUGAAUUUCAACUCCUUAAAAGGCUGCAAGAAACAAUGAAUAAAUUACCAAGAACUUCCUUCAGUGACUGUUAUUUUGUGUAUAUUGAAUGCAAUACAGAAUUGAUACCUUAAUGCCCUUCCAAAGAUAUUUGAUGCGACUAUUACACAGGUUCAACUUAAAAAGUCUCUGGCCGGAAACUCACAGGCUAAGAAUUAAACGGAUAUCCAUGCCAUUUGAGAUACCGCAAAUUAUUUGAGAGGUAUUCAAGAUUGCCCGAAGGAUAAACAUUGUUGAUUUCAAGUAACCUUAGAUUGCUCAUGGUUGAAAAUGAUUUAGCUUCCAAUUGCGUGAUCUCAGGCACAUCAACAAUUAUAGCUUCAAAUGCAUCUGUUCCCUAAUAAAUAAAGGAAACAGAAAUAAAAUUAAAAGGUGAAAAUCAAUGAUCAAAACAGAGAGAAGUUAUCUUGAACUAUAGUUUUCACUUUUAGUAAGACAAUAAUGUAUGGAAUUAUGUUCCCUGACAAAUAUCUUACCAUAUUUUUUGAUAAAACAUGAUACACAUCCUUAUAAAGCCAUAAUCUACUCCAUUUGCCAGGCUUUUCCCUAUGGUGCUCUCGAACAAUUUCCCAACCCAUUUCUUGUAGCAAAUCAUGCAUCCACAGUUUGUUAUUUACAAUAGUUAUCAAGGAUUUGUCUAGGAGUUCUCUUAUCCCAAUAUCUGAGUUAAAACCGCAACUGUCUAGUUUUUUCCUGACUCGAUCUUUGUCCUUCGCCUUGAAGAAUCAUGCAAUAUCUAAGAAUAUCUCUUUAUCUCUUCUAUCAAGUCCAUCGUAACUUAUUCUGAGAACUUUCAAAACUUUUUCAUUAGGAGCUUCUUGUAGCCUAUUCAAAGCACUUUUCCAUUCCUCAACACUUCGACGACACAAAAAGGAUCCCAAAACUUCAAUUGCUAAUGGAAGCCCUCCUGCAUAAUUGACUACAUAUUUCGAGAGCUCAACACGGUCAUCUGUGGGUUGUUUGCCUUUGGAAACUUUCAAAUGAAAGAGUUGGAGAGCUUCAACAUAAUCCAGUCCUCGAACCUUAUAUAUAUUUGUUACUCCGUGGCUCUUCAGCACAUGUUCAUCUCUGCUUGUAAUAAUUAUUCUACUCCCAAAACCGAACCAAUCAUGAUUUCCAGCCAGCGCUUGCAAUUGUUCUAAUUGAUCCACAUCGUCAAGAACGACAAGGACUCUUUUGCCACAUAGCCGCCAUCUAAUCAAAUUAAUUCCUUUAUGAACGUCCCAUAUGAUUAAAUUUCUUUCCAUUAGGACCUCAGAAAGAAGCUGUUCUUGUAAAGGAACCAUACCUCUUGUUACAGAGACUUCUCUAACGUUGGCAAGAAAGCUGCUAGCUUCAAAUUGAUCUUUUAGCGUAUUGCAUAGUUUUUCCAAUUCCACCCAUUCCACAAAUACCAAUGAACCGAACAUCAUCUAAUCCUGCUUCUAAAUAUCCAUUCAUUUUCUCCAUGCGAGACGCUAUUCCAACAAGGCCAUCAACAUCACUUGGAAACGUUGGGUUUAAUCUUUUCGAUAUCUCUUUAACAAUGUCUUUGAUCAAUUCUGACUCACGCCUACGGUGAAGAACAAUAUAUAAAUCAAAACAGGAAAUUUUAAUUUGCCAAAAGUAAGGUGCCUAAAAUAUUUAUUGAUGCUCAACUGUAGACUCACAAAACAAAAAUGUUGCCAUAGACCAUAAUUGAUGAAACAGCUCGCAAUAGUUUUACUUUUAUGAAAAAUUAUGUCUCCGACCAAUGAACCCCACUUCAACCCCAACAAAGCAUAUUUUUCAGGUAAAUUUAUUAUUAAUUUAGAAUUCGGAAUAAUUUUAUUAUUAGUUUAAUUUUUAUUUAUUCUCCUGUGGAAUUAAAGUGAGCUCUCUCUUAUUACUCAUCUAAAAUUUAAAGUAUUAUUGUCAUUAUUAUUAUUAUUAUUAUUAUUUUUAAAAAGGCAGUUUCGUUAUUAGUUCGACUUUUAUUUUGUGAGGUUGAGGUAGCUCUGUCACUACUCUACGUUUUACAAUUGUGCUUGUCCUUUUUAAUAGGAUCCCCCUAAGUUACAGUUUUCGUAACUUACAGCCUGCGAUUUGACUAACUAACCAAUAAAAAUCUGCACAUGGAUAAAAAGAAAGAAAUCAUAACUGGUUGAAAACGGUCGCAGACGGGGUGACUGAAAUAGUCAAUCCAAAUGAUUGACUGUUGCAGCCGGUUGCAAUCGAUUAAACGACUUCGUUUCACAAUCGAAUCCCUCACCUCUUAAAAUUAAAAAAAACAUUGACAAAGAGAAGCUGAAGCUGCAUCUCCUCCAACUAGCAUCCUACUGAAAGUCCACCACCAAGAGAAGCCGAAGCUACAUCUCCUCCAACGACCAACCUACUCAAAAUCCACCAUCGAAUUUUCUACAAACUAGGCUUCAAUUAAUGCAAAUGGACUUGCAAAUCAAAGUGGCGCAAGCCGUUCACUUCUUGAAUGACAAGACCGAAUCAUGUAACCGGGUGGCAGCAAAUUAGUGGCUCAUUUAGUUUCGACAAACCAACGCUGCUUGGGAGGUCGCAACCUCUAUCCUCUCCUCCGAUCUCCAGUUGUUGCUAGCCAAUUUCAAAGCCGAGUUCUUGGCUACUCAAAUUCUUAAGAGUUCUUGGCUAUUCUCCUACACAAUCCCUAAAUCAUUCCCUCCUCCUUUCUCAGUGAUUUUUGCCUUCUCAAACGAUGAUGAAAGGUGAAACCUUUUGGUCCGGUUACCCAUCAAUUAUCCCUAACCAAUUCAGCUGGUUCCCUUUUGUUAUUACUGCUGCAUAAAUUAAACUUCAACCGUUGGAUUGAAAUUGAAGAUAUCUAAUGGUUGAUAUUAAUCAGACUGUAAGAUACAUUAAAUGCAACUUAGGGAUUGCCAUUCUAAUAACAUAGUCAUGGUUAGACUCAUAAUUUGCCAUCAUGAGUAGGGAUGGCAAGCAAACCCGGACCCGGAUGAACCCGGAUGAUCCGGACCGAGUUUAACCCAUACCGAAUUUACGAAAUAUCCGGAUCCGGAUGCAUUUUUCUUAACCUGGAUGAAUCCGGGUCCGAUUCUGGGUUUACCUAAACUCGGAUUUCCAUAACCCGGACCCGCAUUUUAAUGUUUUUAAUUAUUUAAAUAAAUAAUUUUUAAUUGUUAGUUAUAAAUAUAAGAGCAAAAAGUAAGUGAAAAAACAAAAGCAGCCCUAAAAAUCUAAGCCUCACGGGCUCAAACCAGCCGCAUCUUUCAUCUUCCUCAUCCCUUAUCAUCAAGGCAGCCACCUAGGGAUGGCAACCAAACCCGGACCCGGAUCGGACCCGGACUGAACCCGGAAAAUCCGAUCCGGGUUCAACCCGCACCGGAUCAAUUUUUAUGCGGAAUCCGGAUCGGUUUUUUAGAACCCGCAUACUUCCGGGUCCGAAUCCGGUUUGAGGUGAACCCGCAAAUCCGGAACCCGGAUCCGGAUAUUAUUUAUUUUAAUAUUAAUUUUUUUAAUUAUUAAAUAUAAAUAGAAAAAAAAGAAACCUAGCUCUCUCAAAUCUCAAUCUCUCUCACUCGUUCCUCUCUCGAUCUCUCACUCUCUUCAACUUCUCCUCUCAAUCUCAAUCUCUCUCACCCGUUCGACUGUUCCUCUCUCAAUCUCUCUCACCCGUUUCUCACUCAAUCUCUCUCACUCUCUCUUCAACUCUCUUGUAAUUUCUCUUCUUCAAAUCAAAUUCUUUGCGGCGUGGCUGUCAUCUCCUUCACGGUGUGCUUGCGUUUGUUUCAUCACUCAUCAGCAUCACUUGUCUCAUCUCUCACUCUAUCACGGCCAGCAAAAGGGGGUGGAUUUCGCGGCUGUGUUCUGUGGCCUGUGGGGGUGGAUUUCGCGGCUGUGUUUCACGGCCUGUGGGGGUGGAUUUCGCAGCUGUGGGGGUGGCCCGUGGGGGUGGAUUUCUCGGCUGUUGUAUUUGUUUUAAAACAUGGAUUUGAAGUUAUAUGUUUUGUAUUUGAAAUUUUGUUGAACUAAACUAAAGCAAUCUGGAUUCUGGAAACAAUUUGGUUCUGGUUUGUGUAACUGUAUUAUUUUUUUUUUCAUUUUUCCAGCAACUUAAGGAAAGUAAUCCGGGUUCAAAACCCGGAAUCCGAAAAACUGGAUUUUUCCGGGUUGAACCCGGACCGGACCCGGAUCGAAAAAAACCGGGUUUAAUACGGGUCCGGUAAUGAGAAUUUGGUGUCCGGGUCCGGAUCCGGAAUGACUAAACCCGGACCCGGACCCGGAAAUUGCCAUCCCUACAGCCACCUCCUCUAACCACACCAGCUCUGCAAUCUCUAGAUGUCUGAAGCUUCUCUGCUUCAUCGUCUCUCUUCUCUACUCCAGUUGUUUGUUCGGUAAUGGCAGGAGGUACUGUGGUAAUUGAGGCUUUGUGAGUCACUUAAGAAUGGAAAAUUCUUCUUCUGUUUGUUAUGAAUGCUUUUGUGACUUGUUUUCUUUACUGUUUUAAAAAGGUUGCUUAGUUACUUGAACUGCAGUAUGAUUGUUGAUUUAAUGGAUUGGUCUUUGCAUUUUAUUUGUUUUUACCAAGAUGUAACGUGCUGAAGAUAUUGAUUUUGAGGAAAAAAUCCAGGUUUAGAACCCGUAAUCCGGGAAUCCGGACUUUUCCGGGUUUAACCCGGAUCAGACCCGGAUUAAAAAAAUACGGAUUUUAUCCGAGUCCGGUAUAAUGAAUUAGCCGUCCGGAUCCGGAACCGAAAAAGCCAAACCCAGACCCAGACCCAGAUUUUGCCAUCCCUAAUCAUGAGCCCUGUGAUUCGAGGCCUGUUUGAAACUUUUCUCCCGAGUCUUGAAUUGACAGUAGAUUUGUUAUAUGGCCUAAAUUGAGUCAAAGGGUUAUGCUAACUUACAGCUGUUGUUAAUUCUUUAAUUUGACGAACGAGUUGACGCGUUGGUGACACGUGGCUAAUCUUGUCUUUAUUAUAAAUUUCUCUUUUAUUCGUAUAUACUUGACUGAUUUUAAAUUUAGUGACAUAAAAGAGAUAUUUUUAAUCAAAACAAAAGUAGUCACCUAUUGCCAAAGUAGUUGUUAUUCAAAUCAAAGAAUUAUAAUUUAUAUGUAAGGAUAGUUGUAAAUUAGGCAAGGUUAACUUAUAUUAUCAUAUACCAAACAUUAUGCGAAUGUAGGUUGUUGGAUUCGAAUAAUAAAAUAGGAUGGACAGAAUGAAAAUCUAAUAUUAUAACACUGGCCUAAUAAAAGUUAACUUAAUUCUGUCCUAAUAAAAGUUAACUUUCUUUCUUCUCUUUCUUUUAUCGCAUUUUCCCUCAAGUAGCCGUCACCGUAAUUUUUUUUCCUUUACUUCCUUAAUUACAAAUUUUAAUUUGGUAAUAAACUUAAAGAAAGAAAAGAAAAAGAGACAAUAUUAAAAAGAAACUGGGAAUUUUCGUAAAAAAUUAUUAAAAAAAUGAUUGCCGAUCCGAUCACCUGAUCUAUGACCAUCGCACUAACAAAAUAAAAGUAUGUGAAUGUGAUGAAGGAAAGGAAAAAUAAAUAAAUAAGAAGAAAAAGAAGGCAAGAAGCGGUGGCUGGUGGAAUUUCCAAACUACUCUUAAUAAUCUUUUUGAGUUAUAUUUAGAUUUCCAAUAAGCUUUCGAAUGUAACAUAUUUACCGGUGGAAUUAUUUUAACUUAGUUUAAAUUGUCCUAAUCCAUUCAGAAAUAACUUUUUAUGCAACGUAAAAUAUUUCACCAAGUAUAAUCAGUCAAUAUUGAUCACGAGAAAAUGAAAAAAAAAAGAAAAAGAAAAAGUCAGAAAUUCACUGCUUCGACAACAACCGCAUACAAUAUAUAUUAUUUUAAGGGUUUUAGAUUCCCCUUUCUAAACUGCCACUUGGGCUUGUAGUGAACUAUUGCUGUUAAAGUUCUUAUGGACUUAACUUCCCUCAAUUAAAUAUAAUUAUGUGAAGAUUACUUGUAACAUCUUUCUCUCUUGAGAAAUGCGAGUAGAGUAGAGACAUCCCUCCUCCGUGAGGGGUAUUUGGCUGGACAGUACUUCAUAAAUUAAAAAUGUAAUAAUAUAAGUCUCAGGUAUGUAUCUGAUUGUAAAUAUCAGUAUAAUGAUCUGUUGUCAUAGCAGUUAUAAAUAUUUGUGUAAUACAGUAACUUGAUACUUAAUUAGUUUAAAAAAAAAAAUUCCCUUCCUAAACUAGCAUCUCAAAGGUGCGGUUUGCUAGAGCCGGUAAGAGAUAGGUACGAUUGCUCAUUUUAUUUCCAUCCAUCUAAUCUUAUUAUUCAAAUUCAACGACCCUUAUUCGCAAAAUGUUUGUUACUUGAUAAUAUAACUUAACCUUGCCCUGUAAGUUAACAUGAUCUUGAGUCUAAACAUUCCAGAAUAUGCUAUAAGAAUAUAGUGUUGUUAUUUACCCUGAGUCAAGUCCAGAGUCAAAUCUCGAAUGGUUUCUUUGACAUACUUUUUAAAGUUCUUAUGAAAUUGUAAGGGGAAAAAACUCUUCUCAUCCCUAAGGUUUCAUGUAAUAGCUCAUUUUAUCCUUACUUUUUAAACAAUAACUCAAAACAUCCUUCUAUUAACUCACUGUUAAUUAAGUAUUGUUUGUUUGUUAUUCAUUGAGGGUAAAAAAUGAUUUUUCAUUAAAGAGAAAAUUAAAAAAAUAAAUAAAAAUUGACAUAUAACUAAAAAUGAUGUUAAUCUAAUCCCACUAAACAGAAAUACCGCAAAAGAUGAAAAUUUCUAUUUCAAGCAAUUAUUUUACACUUCUCUAUAUUUUGGAGGCAUGAAAAUCCUAUAAAUCCUAGAUUUAAGUGCAAAAAAUAAUCACAAUUUUCAUAUUCAUAUAAGUAUACUCUCUAAUUGCGCUGUGAGCCGACUUUGGGAGACAAUAAUGGUUAAAGAAUAAUGGUGGCAAAGCUCAAAAUAAAAAUUGGCUGAAAAUUAAAAUGAUUUUCAGUACAUGCAAGCACAUAAAAAUUGGUUGUAUUUUUGAGUUUUUCUUCCAAUGAUUUAAAGAUAUUGUGCUAAUUACCAUUUGCUGCUUAUGGUGAUUAUUCAGUGGCUAUAUCAAACUAUUUCAUCAUUGAUUUCAUUUAAAAAUAAUAAUGAAUUUUGUAUAUUUUGUAGUGUUAUUUAAUUGUGUAAAAAAUUAUUUUAAUAUAAUUUUUACCACUUUAAUAAAUAAAUAAAAAUCAUAUUUUACCCUCAAUGAAUUAUUAGUUAACGGCAUUAAACUAAUGAUGAGUUAGCGGAAGGAUGUUUUGAGCUAUUAUUUAAAAAAUAGGGAUAAAAUGGGCUAUUACAUGAAACUUUAGGGAUAAAAAAUGCUCUUUCCCAAUUGUAAGAAGUCUAAAAAUUUAAAGACUACUACUAUUUUAAACGUUUCCUAUUAAUCCAUUGUAAGAAGCCUUACGGUUUUUUCCUAUUACGUACCCCUAAAACAUUUGAUACACAUAAACUUGUUCAUUUAUAAACACAUAAAAGUUUAUAAAAGAUUAAGCUUCCUCAUUAGAGAAGAACUAAGUAACUUAACUAAAAUACAUUACGCUGAAUAAAACUAACUUACUUAUAAUGACUUCUAGAAAAUUAAACAAAUGCCUUAGAACUUUUACAGAUUGAAUUUUGCUACAAAAUUAUUAUUAUUUUUUUAAUGAUAUGAUGAUCCUCCCUAAAAGAAAACUACUCCUAUUUACAGAGUUCAUGAAAUCCUUUAUUCUUAUCUCUUGCUAUCCAUGUGUGUCGGCCAAAUUGUAGGGAGUUUGGCAUCCAUUGAGCAAAUGUUGUCUUUAUAUUCAAAUGAAAAAGGUGACUAACAGCAGAAUUAUCACCACGGCUUUUUCUUUUUAUAGUUGUACUUUAAAAAGUAGUGAGUGAAGGAUGACUAAUUGGACAGUGGACCACUAUUGAGUCAAAGUUCUAACAUGUUGUCAAGGUUAUGGGCCUCAAUACCAUCUAGAUCGUUGUAGAAGUCUCUAUCAUCAUCUUCUUCUUACUUAAUUGAUCUUUCAUAAAAGAUUUGUAGGCCUUGAUAUCGUCUUUGUAUUGCUCGCGAUAAAAAUCUACAAGUUGAUCAUUUGUGGUCUUAGAAAUAAAAAGGACUUUGAGUAUAUCUUGGCGAGAAUAUAUCUUUUGAUUAGAGUCUUUAGCAAUUAGUUUAGAAUGAUUAGUGGAUUUUUUAAUCUCAAAUUCCCUUGCUAUUAUUAUGCUUCUCCAAUGUCUAAUUUACUUGGUUAAAAAAUUACUAGUGUAAAUCCAAGGAAUAUUCAAACAUUUUAAGUUUUUAAGUUCUCUAAUAGUGUUAAAUCCCAUGAGAAAAAUAGAAUAGUGGGCUUGCAACUCAUAAUAUACAUCUUUCUUAAAUCUCCAUUCUGAUACUUUUGUUGGACAUAAGCCACCAUAAAUCAUUUUCGUAUUGCCAUUAGGUUAAGCAUGGUUGAUGCUAACUUUCUUGCCAAUGGACUUAUCUGGUCAGGGUUUUGAAUAAUGAAGUAAUUAAGAAAAUCAAAAUCUAAUAAUAAUUGUGAAGUUAAUAUUAGUGGUUUAUCUCUGAAUUUCUGUUUUAUUGGCUUGUAUAGUCCUAGAUCAAUUAACUUUGUAUAUCCAAGUGGCAUUUCUAGACAAAAUCGGUCAGUUCUUAGGAAAAUAUUGUGAGUAUUGUCAUAAUGUAUCUCCCAUAGGAUGAGAAAUCCAAGUGUUUGGUAGUCGAACUCGGAAAAAACUCUAAAUAAAUUCUAUUUUGUCAUUUUGCACUUAAGCGUGAUGCUCUUUAAUGAUAAGUCGACUAUAAUAGGGUAAUUUGAAAGUUCAGUAUGUGUAAAGAAAAAAUUAUACUUUCUCUCAUUUCUAGAUCUCAUGGGUUCAGUGUUUUGCACUCACACAUUUGAUUUAACUAGUGGGGUUAAAGGUNNNNNNNNNNNNNNNNNNNNNNNNNNNNNNNNNNNNNNNNNNNNNNNNNNNNNNNNNNNNNNNNNNNNNNNNNNNNNNNNNNNNNNNNNNNNNNNNNNNNUUGAAAUCAUAGAGUCCUUGAUAAUCUAGUUUGUAAAAAUUUGUAAUUUUUUAAAGAACUUUAGGCCAAGUAUGGUACACACCAGGUGUAAAUCCUUAAAUGACUAUAUAAAAACUGAAAUUUUUGCUUAAAAGUUCACUUUGAAUUUUUGAAAAAUAAUAAAAGCACAUGAUAAAAGCAUCAAAAAACAGUUGACACUGAAUUGCAUAAAAGUUAUAAUUAUUAAAUCUUGAUCAUACACGCCCUUGAAUUAGAACUUAAGAUAAGUGUCAAUAAGUGUCAGUACUAACUAGUAUCAAAGCAUGGUUUAAUUAAUUAAUUCUAAUUAGGAGAUCCAAUAGUUUAUGAGGAAAAUAGAAGAUUUAGAUUUAGAACUCAGUGAGUGUGCUUACCAAAGUAAGAAGGUAACUUUAGAUAGAUAUAAUAUAGAUUGUAACAUAAAAGGAAACUUAGACACGAUUUACAUACAGAAAAUUCAUAGUUGAAUAGUUUGAUAAACUUGUUAAUUAAUUUAUGUAGAAAUUUAAAAUUAGAAAUUGAUAAGAUUACUAAGAAUGUUAUAUUAUUUCUAGAUAGCUUAAGGGAAUGUAGAGUACUUCUUAAAAAUUUCGAAGAAAAAAAUAGACUUUAUAAAGAAUCAAAUUAUAAUAGAAUUAAGAUUUCAAUGUUAGAAAAAGUUAAAUUGAAAAUAAGCAAUUAGAUAAAGCAAAAAUUUUUGAAGUCAAAUCAACUUUAGAAGAUUUAAUAAGUAGAUUUGAAAAAAAUAAACGUUGAUACUGAUAAAGAUAGCUUUCAACCUAAGCAAUCUAAGAGUUAUAGAUAUUAUUAAUGGAUAAAAGUAGUUAAAUAGUCAGUACUAAUAAAUAAGAAGGUAACUGAAUAAUAUUUAGUAAAAGAAAAGAAGAUGAGGAUGUUAAAAUAGAAAACCUUAUAGAUUUAGACGAACAAAUAGAAAAGAUUUAGAAAAAAAUAAAUUACAAUAAAUCAAUCCAAAUAUUAUAUAAAAGAAAAAAAUAUGUUUAGCAAAUCUUUGCUAUAUCAAAUUAUAAUCAAAGAUAUAUGUCAUGCACUCAUAAGAUCAAAUGAUUUAAUUAGAUUUAGUAGACAAGUAUUCCCUUAUCAGUGAUAAAGACCUUAAAUAAGCUCAUCUAGGAUUCCCUAUAAUAGAGUAAAAGUUAGAGAAAAUUUAGGUGCAAAAGCCCUAGUUUUUCUUUAUGAUAAUUGAUUUACAAAUAGAACAAAGAAUUUUAGGAAGCAUAGACAAGAAUAAUAAAGGAGGAAUAGUAUAUUUUACCUAAAAUUAUUGGGUAAAAGCUAAUACUUAUAAGGAUUUAAGAACAUGAAUAAAAAUUAGAGGUUACCACAUGAAAAGAAAUGAAGAUAACUUAUUACUUUGUACAAGAUUUAUAGGAAGACUUAGUAAUAAACAUUUUUUGAACUAAAGGAAUUAAGGCUAUCUGAGCAAAAAAAUUCUUAGCAAGAAUUAAUGUAGGAUUAGAUUGGAAGUUACAAAUUUUGGAAGUUACAAAAUUUUAUAAAAAAAUUAAUUUUAGUACCACAAGACAAUGCAAUUUAUCACAAUACUGAUGGCUUAAUAGAUUUAAGAUUUGGAAAUUAUUAUUAUUCGGUUAGCACAACUGGCAAUCAAGAUGAAACUUUGUCUUUCUCGUUUUCCACAAUAUCAACAUAUUCACUUAGAGUUGCAUGUAGAGCAUGGUGGAACCAAAUAGUAGUUGUUUCGAUUUCGAGGAUUUAGAAAUAGGAACCAAUAGUUAUUUCAAUUUUCCACAUGAUCUAGAAAUAGAAAAUCCAACAAUAGAAACUAGUGAAGAAAAUAUAGAUAGUUUCUUACAAAAUUUAGAUGGACCAUAUAUCAACAAAGAAAUAAGUUAUUGUGAUUUAGAAUUUGAAAACUCCUAUGAUCUUAUUUUCAUACUAAACAAUAUAGAUGUACAGACCAAAAAGCCUAAAUUUAAAAAUCUAAAAAAAAUGACUUAGAAUAAAUAAUUAGAUUAACAGAAAUUACACAUCCGAAGGAGAUCCAAUCAAAUAUUGGAAUAGAAACAAAUUUAAAGCCCAUUUAGAUAUAAGAAUGUAUAUUUCACUAUUAAAACAUCUAAAGGAGACUAUAGUUCACAAGACAUGUAAGAAUUUAACAUUAAGAUAACAUAAUUAUUAAAAUUAGGAGUUUAUUGUUAGAAACUAUGCAAAAAUUAAUAGAAGAAAAGUGUGAAUGGUCAUAAAUUAUAAAUGAUAAUACAUAUGAAGACUAGUAUAAAAUCCUUAAUAAAAUCAAUUAAUUAAUUGCAUCCAAAAUGAAAAUAUAUCCAGCAAGUUUAAUUGUAGAUUAGGAUUUUGGCAAGCUAAAAUGGAUGAUGAUUAUAUUCUAUCGACUACCUUCAGCUAUCCUGAGGGACUUUUCAAAUAGAUUGUUAUGUAAUUUGGACUAAAAAAUAUCCCUUUUAUCUUUCAACGUAAGAUGGAUCAAAUACUUAGAAAAUAUGGUAAAUUUAUUUUAGCAUAUAUACUUAUGGUCUUUAAUAAGUUUGUCAAUAACAGACUUAUAAUUAGUAAGAAGCAAAUAUAACUCUGUAAAGAUAAUGCACAUUUUUUAGAAAUGAAAAUAGGAAAAGUAAAACUAAAAUUACAAGAACAUGUAGUGAAAAGAAUAUUAGAUUUUUCAAAUAAAAAGUACUAAAAAUUUACAAGCCUUUUUAGAAAUAUUAAAUUAUGUUAGAAUGUGUACAAAAGACCUUAGCGAAUAGUAGGAACUUUGAAUAGUAAAACCAAACCAGGAGGUCAAAAGUUUUUUGAUAUAAAAUUAAUUAGAAAAAUAAAAACAAUUUUAUAAAGAAUGAACAUAAUUAACUUUACCACUAUAAAAUGAGUAUAAGGUUAUAGAAACAGAUGUUAGUAAGCACGAAUAAGGACUAGUAUUAAUCUCCAAACCAAGUAAGUAUAAUAGUAAGAGUUCUAAGAAAAUUUGUAGAUACUCAUUAGGUCUCUAUAAAGAAUCUAAAAAUAGUUUAACUAGCUUAAAUUAUGAAAUCUUAAGAGUUAUUAAUGCUUUAAAUAGUUUUAAAUAACUUCUCAAUGGGCCUUUCAUGGUAAGAAUUGAUUGUGAAGCAAUAGUAAGAUUUUAUAAUAAGACUAAUGAAAAGAAAUUAAGUGGUAAGAGAUGGUUAAAUUUUGUUAAUACCAUAGUAGGAAAUGAUAGCAAAGUAUAAUUUGAACACAUCAAAAGAGUAGAUAAUAGAUUGAUUGAUUACUUAAGCAGAGAAAUUCAUUGUAACAUACUUUAUGAUUUUACGGAUAUACAACAAGAAGAUGCCAUUAAGUCAAAUUAGUCUACCAACAUUCCAAAAGGAGACUAAUUUAUCUUUCAAGUCUUUAAUUAGCAGCUAGAUAGAUGAAUCACAACAAUGCUUUUUAGACAACAUCUAAAAUGCAAACGGUGAUAGUAGAAAAAUCUUAUUAGCUUUAAAUGCAUUAACAUUUUAUUUUUCAAAAAUUCAAGGUAAACCUUUAAGUAAAAAUUUUAGUUUUUAUGUAGUCUUAAGUUCUUGAAGAAAGAAAAUUAGUAGCUUUAAAUUAUCAAAGAUUUUAUGAUUUUAAAUCAGCCCUCGAUACUGAAAAAUAAAAAAUUGGCCUGAAUUUUUUCAUAAGUAUAUUAGCAAAAAAUAUAGCUAGCAGUAUGCCUAAGCACAUAUCGCCAAGUGUUCAAAAUACAUAAAGUAGAAGAGUUGCUUCAACUUCCAUUAAUACUUUGUCUUUUUACGAUCUUCGUGAAAUAAUGGUAAAAAAUUUCAAAAGAUUGGAUGACAAGUGUAAAGAUCCUUAUGAAGAAAGAAAUUCUCAAAAGGAUAAGCUUAAGACUUUAUUAGCCAACUCCCAGAUAAAGGUAAAAAACCUUUAUCCUGUUAAAAAAAAAAGCAUAAAGUGGCUAUUUUGAGGCCAGUUUUGAGCAACAUAAAUAUUGACGAAAUAUACAUGCAUGGAUGUUUCAUAAUCUCCUUUGUGAGCUCUUCACAAGGAAUUAUAGAAUGCAGAAAUUAGUGCUUAGGUGAAUGAGAAAUCGAGUUUCAAAGAGAAAAUGUUGCUAUGAAAAAAUGAGGAAAAAUCGCACAAGAGAUUUUAACUAACUAAUACCCCCUUGAAACCCAUAUAUAUAUAUAUAUAUAUAUAUAUAUAUAGGCUUUCAUGUUCAAUUACAAGACACACCAAAAUCUAAGUAGCUUUAAACUUCAGUAUGAUAAAAUUUAAACAUUUGUUUAAAAUUCGUAAAAAUAGUGAGAUUAUGCUAUCAACACUAUUCAAAUUCGUUGUAUCCUGGAAGACACGCCAAUAUAAUUCAAGCACUAUUGAGAAGGUAGCGAAUUUAUUUUACGGUCACUGUAUUUUUACAGGCCUUGGGUUAGUAAUUUUUUUUUUUUUUUACAUAUUGUUGAUUUAUUUGCUAUUUCAAUUUAUUUUAUUAUUGUUAUUAUUAACUUGUGAUAAGUGCGUCAGAGGCUUAUUAGUAAGAUUAAGUGUACUAGAAAAAUUCUGUCACGAAAACUAUAUAUACAACACUUAAGGAGUUUGAGUUUUAAAUAGAACCAUUGUAACCCCUCCAGCCUUUCCUGAGAACCUAACUAGUGUAUUUUUACAUACGCAGUGAGUAGUCUUAUGUCACUUGAAAGAAAUAAUAAUAUAUCACUAUAUAACCCCCAAUGGUUAAAGCAUAUAUUAAGUGCAAAACACUGAACCCAUGAGAGCUAAAAAUGAGAAAAAAACAUAUCCUUUUUCUUUACACAUUAAACUUCAAAACUACCCCAUUAUGACUGAUUUAUUUAAAGAGUAUCUUGCCAAAAUGUAAAAUGACAAAAUGAAGUUCAUUAAGAGUUCUCUAAAACUAUGCUAAACAUAGCUAUGAAAGCCCAGAGUUUGCCUGCUGAACACUUGAAUUUCUCAUCUUAUGGGAGACUUAUUAUGCCAAUACUCACAAUAUCUACCACCCAAAUAUGUAGAUUGUAAGUGCCAUCUCACCUACAGUAUUGCAAGAGUUAUCAUUGAUCUGAGACAAUUUACUCCACUAUUUUUGUUAGAUUUUGGUUUUUUUAAUCAAGUCAUUGUUCAAGACCCAAACCAGACAAUUGUAUUUGGAAGAAAAUUAGCAUCAACCAUGCUCAACUUAAUGUCAAUAGGAAAACAGUUCGUAGUAGCUUACAUCUAAUCAGAAGCCCUAGAAUGAAGAUUUAAGAAAGAUGUAUAUUAUAAGUUUGAAGCCCAACAUUCUAUUUUUCUCAAGGGAUCUAACACCACUAGAGAACUUGAUAACUUAAAAGGUUCCACUAUUCACUGAAUUUGCACUUGUAAUUCUUUAACCAUGCAUAUUAGACAUUGGAGAAGCAAAAUAAUAGUAAGGGAAUUUAAGAUUCGAGAAUUCACUGAUCAUACUAACUAAUUAUUGAAGACUUUAAUAAAAAAAUAUAUUAUUUUCAAGAUAUGCCUUAAGUCCCUUUAUUUAUAAGAUCACAAAUGAUCAGCUUGUAUAUUUCUUUAUUUAAAAGACCACAAAUGAUCAGCUAGUAGAUUUCUACCGAGAGCUAUACAAGGAAGAUCUCAAGCUUAUAGAUCUCUCAUGAAAGAUCAAUCAAGCGAAGAAGAAGAUGAUGGUAGAGGCUUCUACAAUGAUUUAGAUGAUGUUGACACCACAAUCUUGACAAAAUGUUACAACCUGGACUUUGCAGUAGUCCACUCUCUAAUUAUUCACCCUUCACUCAAUACCUGAAAUGCUGUGGUGAUAAUUCUGCCGGUACUCACCAUUUUCACAUGAAGAAAAAGACAACAUCUUUUUUUAAGUGGAUGUCAUACUCUCUAUAAUUUGGAUCACCCACAUGAAAAUAAGGAGAUAAAAAUAAAAGCUUUUAUGAACUCUAUAAAUAGAAGGAGUUUUCUUUUAGAAAGAAUAAUCAUAUUAAUAAAAAAAAUAUAUCUCAUAGCAAAAUUCAAUCUAUAAAAGUUAUGAGUCACUUUCUCAAUUCCCUAGAAGUCAUUACAAGUAAGUUAGUUUUAUUUAGCAUAAUGUACUGUAACUAAGUUGCUUAGUUCUUCUUUAAUAAAUAAACUCAGUCUUUUGUAAAUUUUUAUGUGUUUAUAAAUGAACAAGUUUAUAUAUUGUAAAUCUUUUUUCUUUUAUUUGUAUUUAAAGAAUGUUUUCUAUCUAUAAAGAAUAAAAUUAGACUAUAGAGUAAAACUUAGAUUCCUAGAAAAAUCUAAAGCCUUAAAAAAGGACCUUUGAGUGCCCAAUUUUACUCCUAAAUACCGUUUUAAAGAAGAAGGGAGGCUUGGUAUUGAGAUUUCCAUGCCUCAAAGAGAAAGAAAGUUUUUUGAAAAAAACUUUAGUUUUAAUCAAAAAAUAUAAUUUUAUACUCUGAACUUUUAGAAAUAAUUUUUUCAAAAAGAAUUUAUGAAUUUGAUUAAUAUUUGUGACAAAACUUGUUAUUUAAUAAAUUUGAGAGAAGUUCAUAAAAGAAUCUAAGAGUAUCUAGUAAAGAAGAACAACUGCUUAUGAGAAUUUUUUUUAAUCAAAAUUUGCUUGCAUGCUCUCAAAUAAUUAUACUUGUUUUACUUUACAAGAUUGUUCUAUUUUAUCAUUUAUUGAAUAAAUUAAACAAGUUAAUAAUUUAGGAAGCUAAACCAUAAUAAGAGUCAUAUUGAUUGUAACAUUAAACUACGAAUUAUAACAAAUAUAAAAAUAAAAGUAACAUAAAGAAAAAAUACGAUACAAGAAAUAAUAUAAAAAAUACCUUCCUAAAUGAUGAUUGAUUUAGAAGAAGUUAUAAUUAAAAAUAUUAUAAAUAGUCGAACAUUAACAUUAUUUAUAUUCUGCUAUUCUCAAUUUAGUAGAUUUGAACUAAUAAUAGCACUAGAAUACUUUAAAAAAAUGUAAUAUAAUUGUAACGCCACAAAUUCCCAUACAUAUUAAAUUAUGGAAAUUGGGCUUUCAUUGAGAAUUAUGGGUGGCCUAUAACCCUUAUUUAGAAAGGGGUACUAAUUAAAUAGAGGUUAUUUAUGAGAUCAUUUUGGAAAAUGGUUAUUUUUCCUUAUUGAAUAGGGUUUCUUAAGAUCCCCAAUAAAUACAUACUUUUCCCCCUUCCAUAACCCUAAGUUUACAACGUUUAUUCUUCUUCUCUGCUGCUCUUUACGCUCUUACCCAAAUCUUAGGAUUCAAACCUUUGUUUAGGAGAGAAUCAAGCGACGGGUAAGUUGUUCUCCAUGUUCUCAACAGAUUUCUAAUCACUCUAUCUAACUAGGGUUUAUAUUGGCACGAUUCUAAUGGUUGUAGAUCAUGAUGCAUGGUUUAGAAUAUAUUUAGACUUUGCUUAGGGUUUUGAUUUAGUAUGAGUUUAGUUAAUCAAUCCUUGACGUAUUAAGCACAGGAUAAUUCUGGACAGCAUGAGGAUCUCGAAUUUUAAAGCUAUAUUUUCUGAAUGAAUUUUUUUAUAAAAUUUAUAUUUCUGGAAACUAGACAUGUAGGGCUUCUUGAUUAAAUUUUAUUUCAUUAAAUUCAACUUCGUUUUCAAUUUUAUAGGUAUUUUGGAAAUAGAAACCACUGCACUGGAAAUCCACGAUUCCAGUAUUGUGAUCAGAUUCACAAGACUAUUUGUACCACCAAAUGAACUCAGAAAAUUCUGAAAGUUUAUAUGUAUGUUAAUAUAUGUGUCUAGAAUUCCCAGUUUUAAUUUCAUAAUUUUCUGAUUAGUAUUUUAUUUUAUAAAAAUCACGGAACCCGUUCUGUUUGGUUUAGAUUAUGUGAAAACAGUUUCGAAUUUGCUGAGAAGUAAAUAGUUUUUAAAAUGUUUUUGAUAUCGGAUUCUCUUGUAAAUUUUACAUUGGGUACUCAUGGCUGUCCAGAAUGGUUCCAUAGGAUUUUAUAUCAUUCUGAGACUUGGAUUAAGAGUUAAAAUUUCGAGAAUCAGACCUGUACGGGUAUGAAUUAGAAAAUCAAAUUCUUAGAAUAAGUUAUUGAUUGUCAUAUCUUGUAUUUGUUUAAGGUUUUGAAGGUGUUUGAGGCUCUUAGAAGCUUAGAGGUGUGUUAAUCCAAGUUCAUUUGUCGAGGUAAGUAACUUCAUUCCUAAUGUACUGGAUAUGUAGAAGUAUUUUGAUAUUAUUAUUAUAAGUAUAAAUGUUUUGAUACUACUUAAAGGAUUACUAAUUUUGAUAACAAAAUUAGCUUUAUGUAAAUGUUUUCAAACCAUUCUUUUUAACAAAGUAUUUUAUAAAUGCUUUUUAAUAUGUAAAUGAUUUUAUGACAUGACAACCUUUUAUGAUUUUAUUUAUAAAGUGUUAUGCAAGCCUAAAUUAUUGAUAUGAACUUUUAUGAACUGAUACGAAUGUUUUGUACCUAUGUUUGAUUUCAAUUAUUGAUGAUUGUAUGAGAUUCUUAAUGUUUUGGCUCAUUGUCCAUAGUUAUUCUGAUUCUGAUUCUGAUUCUGAUCGUAAUAUACGAUAUAUCCGUCUGGACCAGUACUGGGUUUCUGUUCUGAAUGUGCACACGAUAUUUUGAUUCUGUUUCUGGCCGGGUCACCGGGACUAUAGGUGACACUAUGUGACAUGAGCUAACCUGUUUGUUUUCUGUAUACGUAUUACAUGAUUUGCUUCGUAAGUAAAUAUGCUUUUGAAUAUUCUGAAUUAUUAAGAAUUUAUCUUAUGUUAUUGUGAUAUAUCGUUUUAUAAAAAUUAUGGAUUAUGAUAUAUGCUUUAAACAAAAGAAGGCUUGCAAUAUUUUUGGUAUCGAUAGGCCUAGUGUGUUAGGAAUGGUUUUACUUACCGAGUUGACGGCUCACCCCUCGUCAUUACUUUUUUUGCAGAUUAAGUUUCUUUUGAGAGGUGCACUUAGCUUUGGAGUUAGUGAUUUCCAGUUUCCGUUUGCUAUUGAAUAAGAGGAGGAAUAAACUUGUGUUUCUAUUUAGUUACUUUUAUUAUGAAUGUGUAAUUUGGAGUUUGAGACUUUUGUUAUUAUUUUUAUAUGUCCUCGAGAGAGAUUAUUUAGUAUUUGACGUUUGGAUUUAUGGAUUUAUUUGAAUAAGAAUUGGAGGAAUUUCAGUUUGAAACUUAUGAGUAAAGAUUAAUGAUUUGUGAGUAACCUCCUUCUUCACGUGCUCCGCACGUGUUAGAUUUGGGGUGUUACAAUUGUGGUAUCAGAGCAACUAGGUUAGGAUUAUGUAGACUUUCUUUUACGGUUUAAUUAGAUUGUCUAAUUAAAUCGAUUACAUUUGUUUUGUAGACAUGAAGAAGGACAAUAUGGGUAUGAAAAGUGUCAAGAAUAAGGGAUGGACAGAAAUUGAUAGGACCGAACAAUUUAUCUUAGGAGGAGUUCUUGUCAAAGAUCUUAGGAGACUUCAUAAGCAGCGAAUGGAUGAUAGACUAAGACGGACUAUAGAGGUCUACAUCGAUACUCCUCCAGGACCUGGAGCUUCAAGAAAAAAGCUCAAUGAGGCUAUACGUGGACUACGUGUUUAUGGCAAGGGAGCUAACAAGAAUAAGCUUGUAAUAUGUCGCCUAUUUUGGACAGGACCUCGAUUUAAGCCUUACUAUAGCAAAGGAUGGGUAUCUCCAGGUCUAAAUAAACUACCUUAUAGAACUCCUAAGGAAAUCGACACAGAUGGAGUCACGACUAAGGAAAGGAAAGUAAAGAUAGAUCCUUUUCCUAUCCGGUUGAGUACACCUAUGAACUUUGUGGCUGUAGGACAUGAAACUCUGUAGACUUUAUUGAGGUUAAUAUUUACCCUUUUUAAUUAUUUAUUUAUUCUCCGUGUUAUAGUCAAGAGAUGUCACGUAGGGGAGGUGCUAGGCAUGCCUCUAGCUUGAGAGAUUUUUUAGGUAUCGCUGACGACGCUGACCCAACCUUGCACGAGAUGGCUAACGAAGGAAAUCCUAUGAUGCGCGCAAUGCUUAGAUUGAUGGAACAACAAAGUAAGUUAAUUCAAGAUAUGGCUAGAGGCAGAGUUGGGGCACAAGAGAAUGGGGCUAUGGUGAACUUAGAACGAUUUAAGAAAUUGGGACCACCUACCUUUCAGGGGACUGCCGAUCCCAUGGUUGCAGAGGCAUGGCUAAAACAGAUGGAAGAAAAUAUUUGUGGCUAUGGGUUGUAAUGAUGAUCAAAGGGUAAUAUUAGCCUCAUUUGUCCUUCAGGGUGAGGCAGACCACUGGUGGGAUGCCAAAUCUCGUCUUAUAAGGGCUGGUUUGCAAGAUGCACCCAUUACUUGGGAGUUAUUUUUGGAGGCUUUUCAUGAAAAGUAUUUUCCUGAACGAGUUCGACAUCAGAUGGAGGCUGAUUUCUUGAGGUUGACUCAAGGAACAAAGUCUGUUGCGGAGUAUGAGGAACAAUUUACUGCCCUCUCUCGUUUUGCUCAUACCUUGGUUGCUAAUGAAGGUAGUAAGUGUAGGAAGUUCCUGGAAGGGUUACGUCCUAACAUUAAAGGGCGAUUGACCAUCCUUAAGAUUAACAAUUAUGCCGAUUUGGUAGACCGAGCAAUUCUUGAGGAGAAGGAUAUUCUUGAAGCCUAAGUUACAAGGGAUCAGAGAAAUAAUAAGAAUCAACAAGGUGGACCGCGAAAUGUAAGUUCCUUUAGGCAGGGCACUCACUCCCAGAAGUAUAAUGGUGGAGGUAACAAAUGGGAUAACAAGGGUGUUACUGGUGACACCGCUCGGAGGAACUACCCCAUUUGUCGACAUUGUGAAAGGAGGCACCCUGGUGAAUGCCAUUGGAAAACUGGAGCUUGUUUUGCUUGUGGAGAAUCUGGGCAUAGGAUUAUGGAUUGCCCAAAGAGACGUAGCGAGACUACAAAUACUCCGACUAACGAAGGGUAGAGGAAGAAACCGAGGGUGCAAGGGCGUGUUUUUGCACUAACAGAAAAAGAGGCUGAGGUGUCCAAUGGUGUAGUAUCAGGUACAUUAUCCUUAUUCUCUAGAGAAGCCAAAGUUCUUUUUGAUCCUGGUGCUACACAUUCAUUUGUAUCUUGUGUGUUUGCCCGUUAUGCUAAUGUGCCUAUCACACCACUGGAUGUUCACGUGACAAUUAGUACCCCUAUGGGGGAUUUCCAGUUUAUAGAUCAUGUCUAUAAGUCAUGUGUGAUCAGAUUGUGUGAUAAAGAAUUCCUUGUGGAUUUCCUACCUUUAGAGAUGCACGAUUUUGAUUUGAUUUUGGGGAUGGAUUGGUUAGGACCUUACCAUGUUUCAAUAGAUUGUUUUGCUAAGGAAAUUAUUUUUCGCCUAUCUGGCGAGGAAGAAUUUCAUUUUCAAGGGAAUCAUAAGAGUCAUAAAGCUUUGAUUUCUAUGGUUAAGGCAAUGAAAAAUGCUAAAGAAGGGGUGUGAAGGAUUUUUAGCGUAUAUAGUUGCUGACCAUCCCGAUGGGGCGUGCCUUGAAGACAUACCUAUUGUAAGGGAGUUUAUUGAUGUAUUUCCUGAAGAUCUUCCGGGACUACCCCCAGAUCGAGAGGUUGAGUUUACUAUAGAAUUAGUUCCUGGUACUACACCUAUAUCCAAGUCGCCAUAUCGGAUGGCACCCAUUGAAUUAAAAGAACUAAAGGUCCAGCUACAAGAAUUACUAGAUAAGAGUUUCAUUCGUCCUAGUGUGUCGCCUUGGGGUGCUCCCAUUUUGUUCGUAAAGAAGAAAGAUGGUUCAAUGAGGUUGUGUAUAGACUACCGGCAGUUGAAUAUGGUUACUGUCAAGAAUAAAUACCCUCUUCCCCGAAUUGAUGACCUCUUUGAUCAAUUACGAGGUGCAGCGUUAUUCUCUAAAAUUGAUUUACGAUCUGGCUACCAUCAAUUGAAAAUAAGAAGUGAGGAUGUAUCGAAGACAGCUUUUCGAACUCGUUAUGGACACUAUGAGUUCUUAGUUAUGCCUUUUGGAUUAACUAAUGCUCCUUCAGUGUUCAUGGAUUUGAUGAAUAUGAUCUUCCAACCUUAUCUUGACCAAUUUGUCAUCGUCUUUAUUGAUGACAUAUUAAUUUACUCUAAGAGUAAGAAGGAGCAUGAGUCGCACCUGAGGAUUGUAUUAGAAACAUUGCGGAAGAAGAAGUUGUAUGGAAAAUUUAAGAAAUGUGAGUUUUGGCUUGAUCGUGUGAUGUUUUUGGGACAUAUAGUGACGAAGGAUGGUAUUUCAGCAGAUCCAGCCAAAGUGGAGGUAAUUGUGAAUUGGGAAAGGCUUGCUAGUGUGACUGAAGUAAGGAGUUUCUUAGGAUUGACAGGUUAUUAUAGGCGCUUUGUCAAAGGAUUUUCUAGCAUAGCAGCACCAUUGACUAAUUUGACUAAGAAGAAUGUGAAGUUCAAUUGGGAUGAGGCAUGUGAAAAGAGCUUUCAAGAGCUCAAGAGUCAUUUGGUGACUGCCCCUGUUUUAACUCUCCCUUCUGAAGGUGGAGGUUUUGUGAUUUACAGUGAUGCUUCCAGAAAAGGUUUGGGUUGCGUUUUAAUGCAACAUGGUAAGGUUAUAGCAUAUGCUUCUAGGCAGCUAAAGAAUCAUAAACAAAACUACCCAACGCACGAUUUGGAAUUGGCUGCUAUAGUGUUUGCUCUAAAAAUCUGGAGACACUAUUUGUAUGUGGAGACUGAUGAGAUCUUCACCGAUCAUAAGAGUUUGAAGUACUUGUUUACUCAAAAGGAAUUGAAUUUGAGGCAGAGAAGAUGGUUGGAGUUGGUAAAGGAUUUUGAUUGUUCUAUUAAUUACCAUCCAGGUAAGGCAAACGUGGUAGCAGAUGCCUUGAGUAGGAAAUCAUCUGGGUGCAUGGCUCAUCUUAUCACCAUGCAAUCUCAUUUGGUAAAAGACUUAAGGUGAUGUGGGAUUGAGGUAGUUACUCAUGGGCAAGCAGACGUGUUAGCACAUUUGACAGUCCAACCUACUCUAAUUGAUAGAGUUAAGGUAGCUCAGAAGAACGACAUAGAACUCAAAAAAAUCCGUGAAGAUGUGAGCAAAGGACAUAAGCCCGGAUUUAGACUUGAUAAUGGGGAUGGAUUAUGGUUGGGACAAAGGUUAUGCGUGCCAGCAGACGAAGAGUUGAAGGCAGAGAUCUUAAGAGAAGCUCAUGAAUCAUCUUACAGUAUGCAUCCUGGUAGUACUAAGAUGUAUCGUGAUCUAAAGCAAAGUUUUUGGUAGAGGAAUAUGAAGAGAGAUAUUGCUGCUUUUGUGUCUCAGUGUUUAGUCUGCCAACAAGUAAAGAUUGAGCAUCAAAGACCAGCAGGAACUUUACAAACGCUUCCUAUUCCUCAGUGGAAAUGGGAACACAUAACAAUGGAUUUCGUUUCUGGAUUACCUCGUUCUAGGAGGGGAUGUGAUUGCAUUUGGGUAAUUGUUGAUCGAUUGACGAAAUCAGCUCAUUUCUUGGCAAGGAAGAGUACAGACAAUGUAGGGCAACUAGCUAAGUUGUUCAUUAAGGAGAUAGUGAGGCUUCAUGGGGUUCCAGUGUCAAUAGUGUCUGAUAGAGAUCCACUGUUCACUUCAAGAUUUUGGGCUAGCUUACAUAAAGAGUUGGGGACGAAAUUGAGAUUUAGCACUGCUUUUCAUCCACAGACAGAUGGGCAAUCCGAAAGGACUAUUCAAACCCUUAAGGAUAUGCUUCGAGCUUGCGUCCUAGACUUGAGUGGUGGUUGGGAAGAGCACUUAAUGUUGAUCGAAUUUGCUUAUAACAAUAGCUUCCAUUCGAGUAUUGGCAUGGCACCAUUUGAGGCAUUAUAUGGAAGAAAGUGUAGGUCCACAAUCUGCUGGGAUGAAGUUGGUGAAAGAAAACUUUUGCGUCCAGAAUUAAUACAGAUUACUGUUGAUAAAAUCAAGUUGAUUAGAGGACGUCUUCAAACAGCUCAGAGCAGACAGAAGAGUUAUGCAGAUCGUCGUAAACGUGAGUUGGAAUUUGAAAAAGGAGAUUUUGUUUUCUUGAAAGUAUCGCCAUGGAAAGGGGUGUUUCAGUUCGGGAAGAAAGGAAAGCUUAGCCCUAGAUUUAUUGGAACAUUUGAGAUUUUAGAGAGAAUUGGUCCGGUGGCCUAUCGCAUAGCUUUACCACCAAGUCUGUCUAGGCUUCACAAUGUAUUUCAUGUGUCUGUGUUAAGAGAGUACAUUGCAGACCCUUUACAUGUGCUAGACCAUCAACCGAUUCAGAUAAAUGAAGACAUGUCGUAUGAGGAACAGCCUAUUGAGAUUGUCGAUCGAGACGAACAAGUAUUAAGGAAUAGAGUUAUUCCCCUAGUGAAGGUACUAUGGAUGAAUCAUUCUAUUGAGGAAGCCACUUGGGAGCGAGAAGCCGAAAUGUUGGAGAAGUAUCCUCAACUCUUCCAUGCAUAAGGUAACCUUUUAAUUUCGAGGACGAAAUUUUUGUUAGGAGGGGAGAAAUUGUAACGCCACAAAUUCCUAUACAUAUUAAAUUAUAGAAAUUAGGCUUUCAUUGAGAAUUAUGGGUGGCCUAUAACCCUUAUUUAGAAAGGGGUACUAAUUAAAUAGAGGUUAUUUAUGAGAUCAUUUUGGAAAAGGGUUAUUUUUCCUUAUUGAAUAGGGUUUCUUAAGAUCCCCAAUAAAUACAUACUUUUCCCCCUUCCAUAACCCUAAGUUUACAACGUUUAUUCUUCUUCUCUGCUGCUCUUUACGCUCUUACCCAAAUCUUAGGAUUCAAACCUUUGUUUAGGAGAGAAUCAAGCGACGGGUAAGUUGUUCUCCAUGUUCUCAACAGAUUUCUAAUCACUCUAUCUAACUAGGGUUUAUAUUGGCACGAUUCUAAUGGUUGUAGAUCAUGAUGCAUGGUUUAGAAUAUAUUUAGACUUUGCUUAGGGUUUUGAUUUAGUAUGAGUUUAGUUAAUCAAUCCUUGACGUAUUAAGCACAGGAUAAUUCUGGACAGCAUGAGGAUCUCGAAUUUUAAAGCUAUAUUUUCUGAAUGAAUUUUUUUAUAAAAUUUAUAUUUCUGGAAACUAGACAUGUAGGGCUUCUUGAUUAAAUUUUAUUUCAUUAAAUUCAACUUCGUUUUCAAUUUUAUAGGUAUUUUGGAAAUAGAAACCACUGCACUGGAAAUCCACGAUUCCAGUAUUGUGAUCAGAUUCACAAGACUAUUUGUACCACCAAAUGAACUCAGAAAAUUCUGAAAGUUUAUAUGUAUGUUAAUAUAUGUGUCUAGAAUUCCCAGUUUUAAUUUCAUAAUUUUCUGAUUAGUAUUUUAUUUUAUAAAAAUCACGGAACCCGUUCUGUUUGGUUUAGAUUAUGUGAAAACAGUUUCGAAUUUGCUGAGAAGUAAAUAGUUUUUAAAAUGUUUUUGAUAUCGGAUUCUCUUGUAAAUUUUACAUUGGGUACUCAUGGCUGUCCAGAAUGGUUCCAUAGGAUUUUAUAUCAUUCUGAGACUUGGAUUAAGAGUUAAAAUUUCGAGAAUCAGACCUGUACGGGUAUGAAUUAGAAAAUCAAAUUCUUAGAAUAAGUUAUUGAUUGUCAUAUCUUGUAUUUGUUUAAGGUUUUGAAGGUGUUUGAGGCUCUUAGAAGCUUAGAGGUGUGUUAAUCCAAGUUCAUUUGUCGAGGUAAGUAACUUCAUUCCUAAUGUACUGGAUAUGUAGAAGUAUUUUGAUAUUAUUAUUAUAAGUAUAAAUGUUUUGAUACUACUUAAAGGAUUACUAAUUUUGAUAACAAAAUUAGCUUUAUGUAAAUGUUUUCAAACCAUUCUUUUUAACAAAGUAUUUUAUAAAUGCUUUUUAAUAUGUAAAUGAUUUUAUGACAUGACAACCUUUUAUGAUUUUAUUUAUAAAGUGUUAUGCAAGCCUAAAUUAUUGAUAUGAACUUUUAUGAACUGAUACGAAUGUUUUGUACCUAUGUUUGAUUUCAAUUAUUGAUGAUUGUAUGAGAUUCUUAAUGUUUUGGCUCAUUGUCCAUAGUUAUUCUGAUUCUGAUUCUGAUUCUGAUCGUAAUAUACGAUAUAUCCGUCUGGACCAGUACUGGGUUUCUGUUCUGAAUGUGCACACGAUAUUUUGAUUCUGUUUCUGGCCGGGUCACCGGGACUAUAGGUGACACUAUGUGACAUGAGCUAACCUGUUUGUUUUCUGUAUACGUAUUACAUGAUUUGCUUCGUAAGUAAAUAUGCUUUUGAAUAUUCUGAAUUAUUAAGAAUUUAUCUUAUGUUAUUGUGAUAUAUCGUUUUAUAAAAAUUAUGGAUUAUGAUAUAUGCUUUAAACAAAAGAAGGCUUGCAAUAUUUUUGGUAUCGAUAGGCCUAGUGUGUUAGGAAUGGUUUUACUUACCGAGUUGACGGCUCACCCCUCAUUAUUAUUUUUUUUGCAGAUUAAGUUUCUUUUGAGAGGUGCACUUAGCUUUGGAGUUAGUGAUUUCCAGUUUCCGUUUGCUAUUGAAUAAGAGGAGGAAUAGACUUGUGUUUCUAUUUAGUUACUUUUAUUAUGAACGUGUAAUUUGGAGUUUGAGAUUUUUGGUAUUAUUUUUAUAUGUCCUCGAGAGAGAUUAUUUAGUAUUUGACGUUUGAAUUUAUGGAUUUAUGGAUUUAUUUGAAUAAGAAUUGGAGGAAUUUCAGUUUGAAACUUAUGAGUAAAGAUUAAUGAUUUGUGAGUAACCUCCUUCUUCACGUGCUCUGCACGUGUUAGAUUUGGAGUGUUACAAUAAUACAUAUAGAUAUCGUAAUUACUAUAAUCUAAAUUCAAAUAGUCAAGAGACUAAAAGAAAUUUGAUUUAAAGUAAGAAUAGAAUUAAUUUAUUAGACUUUUUAUAAUUUUAUAAGAAAUUUAAAAUGUAUAACAAAAGAACCCAUUCUUCUAGAAAAAGACAAAAGAAACCCAUUCGGAGUUUCACUCCGCCAAAAUAGCAGCACUCAUAAUAAAUGAAAUUCACAAUUAAUUCUUAAAAAAAUUUGACGAUGAGAUCUCAAGCGAUGUGACGUGUGUAUGUUUGUAACAGGCAAAUGGUGACACGUCACCACUAAAUAAAGCAAAAAAAAUUAUUAGCGUGAAUAAAUAAUUAAGCAAUAAUAAAUAAAAUAAUGGAAAGAACCUGUCCUGCAAGUGCCAUCCAGCGAGACUGGCGAGUGGCGACUCUUGUAAAAGCAGCUCUCCAUUUUAGCACCUUCUCUUGAUUCUCCUUAAACUCCUCCUCAUAUUUAGCAAACACUCUCUCAAAAUCUUCUCCUUUCUGCGUCCGUGUAUCCGCCGGAUCUACGCCGUAAAAGACGGCGAAAACUUUACGAUCCUUCCUCUUGUUCCCGCACUCAACAAUUUUCGCAAGCUCAUCCAAACACCACGGGGAAGAAGCGUAGUUUUUCGAUAAGAUUACAAUCGAAGCGUUGGAUUCUUCAAUUGCUUUCGAGAGCUCUGAUGAAAUCUCGUUUCCCCUCUCCAGUGUUUCGUCGUCCUUAAAUGCGAUGAAUCCGUUGCGAAUUAAAGCGGCGUGGAGGUGGUCGGUGAAAUUGUUGCGAGUAUCUUCGCCUCUGAAACUCAAAAAGACGUCGUACUUGCUUUGAAGAAGUUGAUGAUGAGUUGGAGAAGAUGAAGUAUGAGAGGCCGCCAUUUCGAAGGCCUUUAGGAUCUGU